rnacentral:rRNA from 1 species
AUUGAACGCUGGCGGAAUGCUUUACACAUGCAAGUCGAACGGCAGCACGGGGGCAACCCUGGUGGCGAGUGGCGAACGGGUGAGUAAUACAUCGGAACGUGCCCGGUCGUGGGGGAUAACGUAGCGAAAGUUACGCUAAUACCGCAUACGAUCUGAGGAUGAAAGCGGGGGACCUUCGGGCCUCGCGCGAUCGGAGCGGCCGAUGUCAGAUUAGGUAGUUGGUGGGGUAAAGGCCUACCAAGCCGACGAUCUGUAGCUGGUCUGAGAGGACGACCAGCCACACUGGGACUGAGACACGGCCCAGACUCCUACGGGAGGCAGCAGUGGGGAAUUUUGGACAAUGGGCGCAAGCCUGAUCCAGCCAUUCCGCGUGCAGGACGAAGGCCUUCGGGUUGUAAACUGCUUUUGUAUGGAACGAAAAGGCUCUGGCUAAGACCUGGGGCUCAUGACGGUACCGUAAGAAUAAGCACCGGCUAACUACGU